GUCCUUAGUUACCAGCACGUUAUGGUGGGCACUCUAAGGAGACUGCCGGUGACAAACCGGAGGAAGGUGGGGGAGUGACGUCAAGUCAUCAUGGCCCUUACGGCCUGGGCUACACACGUGCUACAAUGGUCGGUACAAAGGGUUGCCAAGCCGCGAGGUGGAGCUAAUCCCAUAAAACCGAUCGUAGUCCGGAUCGCAGUCUGCAACUCGACUGCGUGAAGUCGGAAUCGCUAGUAAUCGUGAAUCAGAAUGUCACGGUGAAUACGUUCCCGGGCCUU
rnacentral:rRNA from 1 species